rnacentral:tRNA from 1 species
GCGGACGUGGCGGAAUCUGGUAUACGCGCAUGCUUGAGGUGCAUGUCCCGCAAGGGGUGGAGGUUCAACUCCUCUCGUCCGCA